GCAGUCUGCGGGCGGGAGGGCGCCGGCGAGGUGGCGAGGGCGGCGGGCGCGGGGGCGCGGGAGCCCCGGCUAAGCCCGGGGACGGGAGAGCGCCCCCUCCCAGCGCCCGAACCCAGGCAACUUCCCGCCGCCCGGGCAGGAGUUUCUCCGUAGCCCACGGACAUCCGGGAGGCUUGUGGAGGGCAGGCGGGUAACCCCCACUCCCACCCCACCUUUAUCCAGGGGCAGCCAGAGGAGCCAGCAGGUCGGGAUUCGCUGAGGGGGCUCCACGCGGGGCCUCCCACGCACAGACAAAAAGAACAGCGUAUGACUCAGUUAAGGAGGUGGCAGUGUGGACAAAACACACAGAGAGCAAGAGGAUGAGCCUUCCACUAAAGGGACAGGGUCUGCUAUGUUGUCCAGGCUGGUCUCAAAUUCCUUGCCUCAAGCGAUCCAACUGCCUCAGCCUCCUGAGUCACUGGGAUUACAGGCAUGAAGACAUUGUUUUCAAGGGAUCACUCUGCUUUGUGGAGACUAGACUGUGAGGAGCAAGCCUCGAAAGGGGAGAGCUGUUUCGAGCAGGUCCCGAUGGCUCCUCCACACCUUCAGGAAAAGCAAGAGAUAAACCAUUGCAUGCUGAGCUCUGCAGGGAACUGGAGGCGGACACCAUCCAUUCUGCAAACCUGCAAUGGUGACACUUCUGGGAUCUCCUUGCCUCUUCCAGGGCUGCAGCCUCUAAGGCAGCUACUCAGGAGGCUGAAGUAGAAGGACUGCUUGAGACUGGGAAGUUGAGGCUGCAGUGAGCCAUGAUCACGCUGCUACACUCCAGCCUAGGCAACAAAGUGAGACCCUGUCAAAAAAAAAAAAAAGGAAAAGAGGAAAGAAGAAAUAGAGAAAGAGAGAAGAAAGAAAAAGAAAGAAAGAAAGAAGGAAGAAGAAAGAAAAAGAAAGAAAGAAAAAAGAAAGAAGGAAGGAAGGAAGAGAGAGAGAGAGAAAGAAAGGAAAAACCUUACAGACACAGUUGAAGUCUUUGUGCCCCUUUUCCUUCCUCCAACUGUCCUGAAGUUGACUCCUUUUGGCCCAGAACAGUCUGCCCUUUGGGCAGCAGGUGGCUUGCUUCAGCCUGGAGGCCAGGAGGCCUACUCAGGCGCCCAGGGCGAUUCACCAAGGGACCUCACCUCUGAGCCCCGCCCACCACCCAAUGAGGACGCGCGAACAUGACGUCACUGCAUCCUGUUGCCCAGCCCAGACCAGGAGAAUGGGACAAGCUGGAGAAAAGAGCCAGUGGAAGUGCCGGAUGCCAAGAGAGAAGUUGGGAAAAAAAUGGUGGAGGGCAAAUGAGUCAGCAGCAAGUUUAAGCAAUGAACCAUUGCAUCACGGGGUGUUUCUCAAAUUCUUGUCUACUUUUAGAAAAAGUACGCAAUGACAUUCAGUGGGCAUCUUGAUUCUGAAAUAGCUAAAGAAAAUGUUAAAAAUGCAGUGAGUGAAGAUGUGCCCACAUUAACCUCUUUUCUAAAACAACAGUUGACAAUUGUGCUUAAGGACAUGUGCUACAUGUCCUUAAGCAAAUCUUUUAGCCUGCCUGUUCCUUAGUUUCCUCAUCUGUGACAUGAGGGGAAUGUAUGAAAAAUAUCUCUGGAGAUUCCUUCCAGUCUAACAUUCUGUGGUUUGAUGAUUGAUACUAUGCUCACAUUCUUAAUACUCAGGCUGUGUCUACACAGUGCCAAGACAACUAGCUAAUUCAGUGAGUAUGGACAAAAUGUUCUUCCAAUCAAUUCUUUGGCACGCUGUGGACAAAUUGGCACUACUUUUCAUUUUACAACUGGUUGCUCCGGCUUCUUCUUGACCAGUGCUUCUUCAAUGGUGGUAUCCUGACAUGCUGUAUGCCUGGAGCACUUAGGAGGUGUGUCCUAGGCAGUUGGCUAUGGAUAAUGAACUGUUGAAGUUCUCAAAUCGUUGAUGACUUUUUAAAAAUCAAUUAGAACAGAUUCAAUAUGGUCCUAUAGUAAUGCCCCUGCUGCUUAGUUGCAUUCCAAUAUGCCUCCCUGAAAGGAAGAAGUGGUGGAGUUACAGCUGCCAGACAGAGACUGCCUGUAGCCCUGACCCUGUUGGAUGCCCAUGGGAGGGUGUCAUGUGUUGUGCAUGUGAACGUCAUUUAUCAUCUGCAACAUAGCACUUGAGAAUGACUGAUGGAAACCCCUGAGACAUGGUCGGACAUCAAGGCACUGGAGACUCAGGCCCUGGAGAAAUCUGAGCCAGCAUCCUAUGACGCAGGUGCAAACCAGGAAGAGUACAGAAUGGAGGGCCUGUUCAUUAUGCCUGUCUCUUGGUCCAAAAUGAAUGAUUUCACCAUAAUCUGUUCAUAGCUGGGGAAGGAAAGGGAGCGUGAAAUAGCAUUUAUUAAUCAUGUAGGGGCCAAGCCCAGUGCCAGACACUCGUGGCAGGUUUUAGUGUUGCUUGCCAUGUACUUUUUAUUCUCAGCUGUCCAGGGGGAUUACACUUCCCUCUUGUGGUUUGGAAAAGUAAUGUAAAAUUCUGGCCAAUGGGUUGUGGGUAGAAGUGACAUGUGCCAACUGAAUGCCAGGGCAUUUCGCUGAUAGUUUUAGACCCUCCAGAGCUCCCUCUCCCUCUAGCAUGGGAACUGGCAACAGUCUGGUGGCUCUUCCAUCACCAGCCGGAAUCCUGGAAUACUAGGAAACCGAGCUCCGAGAUGAGACGUGAGGCGUGUGUAUCAUGCAUUGCACGUGAGGAUGGAGUAAAACUUUGUUGUUGUAAGCCACCAAGAUUUUCAGGCUGCCUGUAACUGCAGCACAACCUAAUUUUGUGCUGUCUGAUGCCAUGUUUUAUAUAACAUGGUAGUGUAGUAGAAAAAUGUGAGCCUUAGAGUUUAAAAUGCUGGGCACGAUGUCUCACGCCUGUAAUCCCAGAAUUUUGGGAGGCCAAGGUGGGAGGAUGGUUUGAGCCUGGGAGUUUGAGACCAGCCUGGGCAACAUAGUGAGACUCCAUUUUAUUUUACUUUUUAAAAAAAUAAAAUAACAAUUUAAAAAAUAGAGAUUAAAAGACAUGAGCUAAAACCUAAACACUCACUGACUGUGAGCAAAUCUGUUAGCUUCUUUGAGUCUCAGUUUCUUCAUCUAUAAAAUGGCACGAUGUUUUUAUUAGGUUCGGAAAUAAUAUUUAAAAAUAUCUAGCACAGGAUUUGGCACAUAGUAGAUGCUCAGUUACAAUGAUUAUAAUUUCAUGUAUUCCUCAAAAUAAUACUAUGAGUAAAGAGGGGGUAUGGGUGUAAGAGAAAGGAUAGUCAUUACUGAUGUUUCCAAUGCCGUCAUACACUAUGGAGAACACUGACCAGGGACCCCAAGGGUAGGGGAAGGUUUGAAGCCAUCUGUGUCCACCCUCCCCUGAACUCAGAAAAGUCCUAGAAGGGAGAGAAGGCCUGAAGACACCAUUUACAAUUUAGCCUUUCCACUGCCAGAGGAAAAGCAGAUUCUACUUAUGGUAGUGACUAUUGACACCUUCAGCAUAUAAAAUAAGAAUAUAGCAGUGGAGUGAGUUAGUGUCCCUGUUAGUUUCACUGAAGCUUGUUAUCCUAGCAAAGCGCCAGCCCAGGUCUUUCCCAAAGGCGCAAUGAACUAAACUCUUCUCUGAAAUCAGCUUAUUAGUAUUAUCAUGACCACUUCAGCUAGCUCACCCAGGACUUGGGAAUGAGCUGGAGAGUGAACUACAGAGGAAGGGAGAGAAAGAGAAUAUCCUCGAGGCAGCAGGGGAUUGAGGGGUCCUUUGUCUCCUCCUGCUUCCCAGCAAGUCUUGCCUGAUGGAGGAACAAGAGCAGUCAGAGGACGGGGUGGGGGAAUUCCAAUUCUGUGUGUCCUUCCUUCACCAUGCCAGCUGCUCUGGAAACCUCCUGUUCCAGGUCAGAUGCCUGCUGCAGUUCCCACUUAUAUUUAAUUUGGUAGAGUAUAUCUCCUCCAAUCCCAGUUUUCUCCAAGGUCUGCUCCCAGAUCAUCGUUUGCCUCUUAAAUACCACAUCCUAGCCAUGAACUUGGAAUUCUGAACAUUCAAUGGCCUGCCCCCUUGGAACGCCUCAGUUCUGCCUCUGGGAUGAAAGUUCCUUGCACGUUUUCACACACAUGGAGUGCAGACAGUCACUGAGGACCCAAGGAGAACUUGAACAUCACCUUGACCACCUGUCAUCAGCAGGAAGUCAGGCUGGAAGCACUUGUUGAAGCCCCCACAACCUUUGGUGAAUGAAAAAUAGAGAUGUUCCAUUCCAGACAAAGCACUGCAUGCUUGGGCAGCUGUUCCACCUGCCACCAAUCCAACCCGGAUUUGCUCUUCACUGACUUUUCACUUUUCCACGCAGACCAAGACCCCAUGAAAAUGCCCAUGGCCAGUGGGGUGACUCUGAUUUCCAGCAAAUGUGUGGUCCUUCUAAAUUGGGGAGGUUUACCAGAAGCAUGUAUUAGAUGAACAUGGAUUUGUGACCUGUGCUCAGGUCCCUGUUAGUUUCACUGAAGCUUGUUAUCCUAGGAAAGCACCAGCCGAGGUCUUUCCCAAAGGUGCAAUGAACUAAACUCUUCUCUGAAAUCAGCUUAUUAGUAUUAUCAUGACCACUUCAGGUAGCUCACCCGGGACCUGGGAAUGAGCUGGAGAGUGAACUACAGAGGAAGGGAGAGAAAGAGAAUAUCCUCGAGGCAGCAGGGGAUUGAGGGGUCCUUUGUCUCCUCCUGCUUCCCAGCACAGCUUUAAACCCUGUGCUCAGGGUUUAAAGCAUGGCGAGAAUGGAAACCGGAUGGUGAGAUUGAGUCCUGGUGGGGCUAGUUGACUUCAUUUUGAUCAAGAUCACAGAUUUUACCCCUGACCCAGAUUAAAAUCUAUAAAAUGGGCUUUUGUGACCAUGAGAGACACAAGCAGUGACGUGCAGGAGCAGACUUAUAGUGGCUUGUGAGAGCCAGGUGUAAAAUAUUCUGGAGCUUUGUAAGCCAAUUUUUAAAAUCAUUAGUAGCUUGAAAUCUAUCGUGGUGCAAGUAUUUAUACCAUGGAAAUUGGUAAACCCCUACAAAUCAGGGUUUCUCUUCCUCCUCCCCUCCUCCUCCUUCUUUGUGAGAGCUAGUUUACCAAGGCAUGUGUGUCUUCUCGCAAAACCAUUCUUUCAUUGGAAAAACUAUUCCAGAUAUGGGAUCAGGGGAACAGUUUUGUAUAUGGGAAGAACAUAGCUCUCUGGAAUCACAGACAGCUUUGAGGACUCAAAAAAAAAAAUCAACAACCAACUUUUAACAUUGAUAGAAACUUUGAUUAGAUAGGGAGUUGUGGCUUCAGUGACUGUGCUGAGAUUUUAAAUUUAAAAGAUCUUGCUGAAGUGAAAAUUACAUGUAAAUGUUGGGUUGUAUAGCACUGUAGGAGUCUGUAAAAAGAGCUGUAGUAAUGUUCUGUAAAAAGUCUUUAUUGAAUUCUCAGUAGAGCAGUGGUCUGUCGUUGAUGUGGCUCCAGGGAGGGAGCAUCUGGCCCCCAAUCCUUGCAGAGAGGGGCUGACACCCGAAUUGCUGCUGACUGUGCCCACUGCUGUGGGGGCUGCUGCAGGAGGGAAAAAGAGCUUUGAAUAAUCUGUUACGAGCUCAACCGUGUCCCCUAAAAUUCAUACAUUGAAUUCCUAAUCACCAAUGUAACUGUGUUUGGAGAUAGGAUCUUUAAGGAGGUGAUUAAGGUUAAAUGAGGUGGGGCACCAAUCCAAUCUGACUGAUGUCCCUAUAAAAGAGGAAAUGUGGACACACAGAGACACACUGGGGAUGAGCAUGCAUAGAGAAAAGGCCACAUGAGGACACAAUGAGAAGGUUAUGUCUGCAAGCCAAAGAGAGAGGCCUCACCAGAAACUAAGUCUGUGGGCACCUUGAUCUUGGAUUCUUAGCCCCAAAACUGUGAGGAUGUAAAUUUCUGUUGUUUAAGCCAGCUCAUCUGUGGUAUUCUGUUAUGGCCGUCCUAGCCGGCUAAUACCAUCUGCAAUCCAGAUUGCUUAUUUCUGUUCUUAUCUGUUGAUUGAUCAGUUUUACAGGGUAAUUGACCUUCCUCCACAAUUCUUCAGGCUCUCCUAACCCUGCCUGAGAUUCUCAAUGUGCCUAGUCACCCAACUGUGACACCAAGGGGUGGGGCCAUGGAGACUGACUCAGAACUUGGCAGGUUACCUUAGGGGGUGACAGUCAGAUUGAACGUGUGUAGAACUUAGCUCUGCCAGCAUUUAGCUGCAGAAUCAUGAGCAAGCCUUUGUCCCCUUUAUGCCUCAGUGUCCUCAUCUGUAAAAUGGAGGCAAAAAUAUUCUCCCUUAUAAGAUUAUGUUGAUGAUAAAACAAGAUCAUGGAAGGAUAAGCACGUGGCACAGUGCUCAGUGAGCACUCUCUUCUGAAGCGAAGCAGGCCUGGGGACAGCCUGGCUUAGAGAUGGCUCUGCUUGCCCUAGCACUGGGUGGGUGGAGGAGGCAUCGGGGGAUGGGGAGGGUGCCUGAGAGGGCAGGGUCAUUCCUCUCCAGGUGACCUGCACUGUGGGGAGCAGGUCACCUCACUAGGACAGUUCCUCCUGGGACCAAGACCUUCCCCCUGUUGAAUUUUUCUCCCUUUGGUUGUUCCCUCACAGAACAUGCUCUUCAUGGAGAAUACUGUGUGUCUUAAAUAAGAUAAUCAAGUAAAAGCUUCACAGAGAGCCUGGCUUUCAGCAGGCACUCAAUACAUGGUAACGAUUUCUACAUCUGCAGUUCCUAAAGCAGCUUUCACGCCACCCCCCAGGGCAGCUGUGGCCACAGAAUUGAGGCAUAAUUUGGACACUGUUGGUAGAAACAGCAUUGGGUAACUUUAUUAACCAAUUUGGUUCAGCCUUAUUAAGGAGGAGAGCUCCAUUCAUGCCAAAGGCUUCUCCAAGCCCUUCGCAAAUAACCAGGAUUCAACAGCCUGAACUCCCCCAAGAAUGACUCCCUGCCAGAACACAGCACAACCCAGCAGUGUGGCCCUUCCUGAUUCUCCCAUCCUCCUUGCCACAUGGGCUGAUGGAGGCUUAGGCUCUGUGGCUUUACCGAGCUCCAACUCUCUUCCUGCACUUGAGCAAGAGCACUUGGUGACCUGGUGAGAUGGUAGAAAUGGACACCAGCCCUGACUCUUGGCAGGAGACUUCAGACUUGCAGCAUGUGCUUAAACCACAGGAAACGGUGUGGCUCACAAGUGGUCUGAGCCCAGGAAUAAUGAACCCCAUGAUGCUGGGAGUUCAUCUCAUUGAGUCAGCUCUGUGACAUUUGGGCCAUGGAGCUGUGGACCCAGCUCUCCAGGAACUUCUGCCUGCAGUGACUGAAAGCUCUUUUGACACUUUUCUAUUUUACUAUCCCCUGGGAUCCUGCUGAGCACACAGGGAGGCUUCAGUAGAAGUCACUUUGUGUCUCUGUGUCACCUUCUGAUUAAAAUAACUUUAAAAGUCAUGUUCUGGGCCAUGCACGGUGGCUCAUGCCUGUAAUCCCAGCACUUUGCGAGAUUGAGGUGGGUGGAUCACCUGGGGUCAGUUCAAGACCAGCCUGGCCAACAUGACAAAACCCUGUCUCUACUAAAAACACCAAAAAAAAAUUAGUCAGUCAUGGUGCGUGCACCUGUAAUCCCAGCUACUCAGGAGGCUGAGGCACGAGAACCACUUGAACUCUGGGAGUAGAGGUUGUAAUGAGCCGAGAUCGUGCCACUGCACUCCAGCCAGGGUGACAGAGGAAGACCCUAUCAAAAAAAAAAAAAAAAGGAAUCAAAAAGAAAAAAAAGUCAUGUUCUGGAAUGGCCUGCUUCGUAGGUACAAAAGAGCAGGGUUUGCAGAGUCAGGCAAAAUCAAGGGUUGGCUUGCAAUCUAACCUUUUCAGAGACCUGGUGGUAAGGGGCCUUUCUGUGGAGAUUUGCGAGAAUGUACUCAGCAGAGAGCUGAGGCUCAGAAAUGAAUUCAGGUAAGGAAAAUCCUCUGCUGAUUCAGAAAAAGGGCACUCACGAGUUUCUAACAUUCUGGAAACAUCACAUGUUACUCUAUUUACUCCCUAUUUACUCUCUUUCUAUCUGCAGGACCCAAAGCAGGAUGGAGAUAAAGAUGCCCAGAAGAAACCAAAGCCUUCUUGGGGAAAACUGUAAGAAGUCAGGAGGGAAUUCUUUAUUAGAAAUUGAAGAUCCCGCUGGGCAUGGUGGCUCAUGCCUGUAAUCCCAGCACUUUGGGAGGCCGAGGUGGACAGAUCACCUGAGGUAGAAGUUCGAGACCAGCCUGGCCAACAUAGCAAAACCCCAUCUCUACUAAAAAUACAAAAAUUAGCCGGGCGUGGUGGCACGCACCUGUAAUCCCAGCUACUCAGGAAGCUAAGGCAGGAGAAUCACUUGAACUUGGGAGGUGGAGGUUGCAGUGAGCUGAGAUGGCGCCAUUGCACUCCAGCCUAGGCAACAAGAGCGAGACUCCAUCUCAAAAAAAAAAAAAAAAAAAAAAGAAAAGAAAAGAAAAAAAAAGAAAGAAAGAAGUUGAAGAUCAAAGCUGGAGACCAGGACUCUUGACAAAUCUGACCAGAUUUGAAACACACCUAAGAAAUGUAAGACUCAAUUAAUUCUACAUGAGCCUAAGAAUUAAACCAAAUAAAGAAUGACAACACAAGUAAUGAGGAUACUGGCUUAUGCCUAGGUGUUUGUAUUUCUUUAGGUCUAACUUCAACUGUAUAUCCUAUUUUAAAUUAAUAUUUGUUAUUCUUUGUUUUUUGUUAUUUUAAUAAAAAGCUCUAUUUAAAUGUAUUUAAAUAACAU